UACGGAGGGGGCUAGCGUUGUUCGGAAUUACUGGGCGUAAAGCGCACGUAGGCGGCUUUGUAAGUUAGAGGUGAAAGCCCGGAGCUCAACUCCGGAACUGCCUUUAAGACUGCAUCGCUUGAACGUCGGAGAGGUAAGUGGAAUUCCGAGUGUAGAGGUGAAAUUCGUAGAUAUUCGGGAGAACACCAGUGGCGAAGGCGGGUAGCUGGGCCAACACUGACGCUGAUUCACGAAAGCUAGGGGAGCAAACGGG
rnacentral:rRNA from 1 species